UUGGAGGGCAAGUCUGGUGCCAGCAGCCGCGGUAAUUCCAGCUCCAAUAGCGUAUAUUAAAGUUGUUGCAGUUAAAAAGCUCGUAGUUGAAUUUCGGGAUCAAUAUUUCGGUCAUGCCGUUGGUAUGCACUGUUAUCAUUGAUUUCUCACCUUCUAAAGAACCGUAAUGCCAUUAAUUUGGUGUUACGGGGAAUUAGGACUGUUACCUUGAAAAAAUUAGAGUGUUUAAAGCAGGCUCACGCUUGAAUACAUUAGCAUGGAAUAAUGAAAUAGGACAUCCGAUUCUAUUUUGUUGGUUUCUAGGAUCGAUGUAAUGAUUAAUAGGGAUAGUUGGGGGCAUUAGUAUUCAAUUGUCAGAGGUGAAAUUCUUGGAUUUAUUGAAGACUAACUACUGCGAAAGCAUUUGCCAAGGAUGUUUUCAUUAAUCAAGAACGAAAGUUAGGGGAUCGAAGACGAUCAGAUACCGUCGUAGUCUUAACCAUAAACUAUGCCGACUAGGGAUCGGAUGAUGUUAAUUUUUUAAUGACUCAUUCGGCGCCUUACGGGAAAC
rnacentral:rRNA from 4 species